GGCAGCAUAGCAUAGUGGUUUGAGUGUUGUACUUUGAUUCUUCAGACCAGGGUUCAAAUCCCUGCUAAGCUA